rnacentral:rRNA from 1 species
AGGUAGUUGGUGAGGUAACGGCCCACCAAGCCGACGAUCGGUAGCCGACCUGAGAGGGUGAUCGGCCACAUUGGGACUGAGACACGGCCCAAACUCCUACGGGAGGCAGCAGUGGGAAUAUUGGGCAAUGGAGGAAACUCUGACCCAGCAACGCCGCGUGGAGGAAGAAGGUUUUCGGAUCGUAAACUCCUGUCCUUGGAGACGAGUAGAAGACGGUAUCCAAGGAGGAAGCCCCGGCUAACUACGUGCCAGCAGCCGCGGUAAUACGUAGGGGGCAAGCGUUGUCCGGAAUAAUUGGGCGUAAAGGGCGCGUAGGCGGCUCGGUAAGUCUGGAGUGAAAGUCCUGCUUUUAAGGUGGGAAUUGCUUUGGAUACUGUCGGGCUUGAGUGCAGGAGAGGUUAGUGGAAUUCCCAGUGUAGCGGUGAAAUGCGUAGAGAUUGGGAGGAACACCAGUGGCGAAGGCGACUAACUGGACUGUAACUGACGCUGAGGCGCGAAAGUGUGGGGAGCAAACAGGAUUAGAUACCCUGGUAGUCCACACUGUAAACGAUGAAUGCUAGGUGUAGGGGGUAUCGACCCCUUCUGUGCCGCAGUCAACACAAUAAGCAUUCCGCCUGGGGAGUACGGCCGCAAGGUUGAAACUCAAAGGAAUUGACGGGGGCCCGCACAAGCAGCGGAGCAUGUGGUUUAAUUCGACGCAACGCGAAGAACCUUACCAGGUCUUGACAUCCACUUAAACUUACAGAGAUGUAAGGUGUGCUUGCACAAAGUGAGACAGGUGGUGCAUGGUUGUCGUCAGCUCGUGUCGUGAGAUGUUGGGUUAAGUCCCGCAACGAGCGCAACCCUUAUCUUCAGUUACUAACGCGUGAGGGUGAGGACUCUGAAGAGACUGCCGGGGACAACUCGGAGGAAGGUGGGGACGACGUCAAAUCAUCAUGCCCCUUAUGACCUGGGCUACACACGUGCUACAAUGGCCACGACAGAGAGAAGCGAAAUCGCAAGGUAGAGCGGAACUCAAAAGAGUGGUCCCAGUUCGGAUUGUGGGCUGCAACCCGCCCACAUGAAGUCGGAGUUGCUAGUAAUCGCGGAUCAGCAUGCCGCGGUGAAUACGUUCCCGGGCCUUGUACACACCGCCCGUCACACCAUGGGAGUUGGGAGUGCCCAAAGCCGGUGAGGCAACCGCAAGGAGCCAGCCGUCUAAGGCAAGACCAAUGACUGGGGUGAAGUCGUAACAAGGUAGCCGUAUCGGGAGGUGCGGCUG